GAGGGGCAUUAUUCCUUAACAGGAGCUGUCAGGCCAGAGCCAUGUCCCCUUGGCAGCUUCCAGCCUGUAAGUACGUUAGAAUUCACUGUAAGAUGCUUGUGGGGUCAUCACAGCCAUUGGCAACUGUACGAGUGUGUAAAUAGUCAUUUGUGGAGCGUCUGUAAGUAGACAGCUUAAAAAAAGAGGAACUUGGGUUUUCUAGUAAGCAGAGUAAUCACCGGCACUGUCUUUGCUUCUGCCCUGCAGGGGAAGAACUCUUGGCAGAACUAGAAAGGUUUGGGACAGGAUACCAGAUCUAUCAGUCUCGCACUCCACUGUUGCUAAUCUGGCAGUUUUCCCUAAAUUUUGCAUAGUGCACAUUUAUUAGUGGCCUGAGGAGGCUUUAGCCUAGCACAGGUGAAUUAACUGUGCAGCAACACUGCACAUCUACCAAGUUCUUUGUUAUGUCCCUUUUUUAGGGCCAUGGUCAGGCUGUUUGCAGGGACUGGCCAGAGGGUACAUUCUGCAAUGAGACCGGCCUGGCUGAAGCACAGCCUUGUCCCAAAGACAAUCUGUCUGGCCAAGAUGCUCCUGGAGGACCUUGUGCACAAGGCUAUUACUGCAUGGGAAGGACAAAGACUGCAAAGCCAGAGGAUGGUGUCACUGGAGAUAUCUGUCCUUGAGGACAUUUCUGCCCUGCAGGCUCAGCAGCACCUUCUCCCUGCCCCAGUGGAGAAUACAGUAAUGCAACAGGUCAGGAACUGGAUCUCUGCAGCUUCAGUGUGACUUGGGAAAGCUAGAUGUGGAUUGUAUCUCCUAUCUAUGUCCAAUAAUGUCUCAAUAGCUGCUGACUGCUAUGAGUUGCUCAGGACUUUGCUUGGGACAGAGAAAGGGUUUUUUUUUUUGUUUUCUUUAGAUUUUUUUUGUUUGUUCAUUUGUUUGGUUUUGUUUUCAUGCUUUUUUGUUUGUUUGUUUGUUUUUGUUUGUUUUUUUCCUGGUGUCACAUGGUGGGGGGAAAGGGAUUCUUACACCCCUGCAGCAGGUCAAAUAGUAGGAUUGCAGCAGUGACAGUGCACAGAAAGCUAGUAAGCAGUUAACCUCAUUUCCUUACAGUUCUUCCUGCCACCUACCGGUGAGAUGCGGAGGUUACUGUGACUCUGAGGUUGGAGCGGGUUUCAGAAGCUACUCUGAUCGUCCAUGUGGAGCAGUGUCUGAGAGUGAUCUCCCUGCAUAUCUCUUCUCCCAAUCUACUGAUGCAUUCCACCUCUAGGAAAUGCAAGCAUAAUACACAACCAAAGGAGAUCCCUUGUCCCACUGAUAGUAUCCCCCAGUGAGCCACAGUUGUUUUUUUUUUGUUUGUUUGUUUGUUUUUGUCCUCUGUAGGUAGGAUAAAAGUUUGGUUUUAAACUCGGGGUUUCCCAGAGGAGCACAAUUUGAAUUGGAAUGCUGAUGUUGAGGAAUCAGCUCAUCCAGAGUCUGCCUCUUUGCCUUCCAAUCAGUGGAUGCAGCACAGCAGCUCUACAGUUUUUACUGACACUCUUUUCCCUCUG
rnacentral:lncRNA from 1 species